GAUGAACGCUAGCGGCAGGCUUAAUACAUGCAAGUCGAGGGGCAGCACAGAUAGCAAUAUUGGGUGGCGACCGGCAAACGGGUGCGGAACACGUACACAACCUUCCUUUUAGUGUGGGAUAGCCCAGAGAAAUUUGGAUUAAUACCACAUAGUAUAUUGGAGUGGCAUCACUUUGAUAUUAAAGAUUUAUCGCUAAAAGAUGGGUGUGCGUAUGAUUAGGUAGUUGGUAGAGGUAACGGCUCACCAAGCCUUCGAUCAUUAACUGGUGUGAGGGCACGACCGGUCACACGGGCACUGAGACACGGGCCCGGCUCCUACGGGAGGCAGCAGUAAGGAAUAUUGGUCAAUGGACGGAAGUCUGAACCAGCCAUGCCGCGUGAAGGAUGACGGCCCGCUGGGUUGUAAACUUCUUUUAUGUGGGACGAAAAAGGGCCAUUUUUGGUCAACUGACGGUACCAUAGGAAUAAGCACCGGCUAACUCCGUGCCAGCCGCCGCGGUAA
rnacentral:rRNA from 1 species